CCCUUAGAUGUUCUGGGCCGCACACGCGCUACACUGAAGGAGGCAGCGUGUACUCCUGGAUCGAAAGAUUUGGGUAACCCGCGAAUCUCCUUCGUGCUAGGGAUUGAGGUUUGCAAUUAUCCUUCAUGAACGAGGAAUUCCCAGUAAGUGCAAGUCAUAAGCUUGCGCUGACUACGUCCCUGCCCCUUGUACACACCGCCCGUCGCUACUACCGAUUGAAUGAUUUAGUGAGGACUUCGGACUGGGACCGAUGCGGCUUUCGGGCUGCGUCGGUAUUCUGGAAAGAUGUCCAAACUGUAUCAUUUAGAGGAAGUAAAAGUCGUAACA
rnacentral:rRNA from 1 species